GACGAGAUUCUUGUGAGAGUGAUGCCUGUGAUUGCAGCAUCCAGAAAAGCAAUCAUCUGGUGCAAUACAAUUACAAAGAGAAGUGGAGAAGCUCUGACCUCAGUGCUUAACUCAGAAACCUCCAGUCUGAGAGAACUGCAUCUGAUUGUAAAUACACUGAAUCUGUUUGGGAAUAAACUAGAAGACUCAGGAGUGAAGCGUCUCUCUGCUCUACUGGAGAAUCCUGAGUGUAAAGUGAAAGGUCUGAGGUUGUGUAAUUGUGGAGUAUCAGAUGAAGGCUGUGCUGCUCUCGCUUCAGCACUGAGAUCAAACCCCUCACACCUGAGAGACCUUGCUCUGUCUUGGAAUAAUGUAGGAGACUCAGGAGUGAAGUGUCUCUCUGCUGUACUGAAGAAUCCUCACUGUAAACUGGAGACACUGUGGUUGGAUGAUUGUGGAGUAUCAGAUGAAGGCUGUGCUGCGCUCGCUUCAGCUCUGAGAUCAAACCCCUCACACCUUAGAGAACUGGAUCUGUGUUGGAAUAAUGUAGGAGACUCAGGAGUAAAGUUUCUCUCUGCUGUACUGGAGAAUCCUCACAGUAAACUGGAGAAACUGUGAUUAACAACUGAAAAUACUGCCUGGAGCUGCAGAAUGAGAAGAGUGAUGUGAGUGUGAUGGUCAAUAACAUUUUAAUGGUGAUGAACAAUUGUGUGUGAAGACUCCAGGGUUCCUGCAUUUCCGUGUCUGCAAACCGAGAACACGUUUAUCUACAGGAUCUGAGGAGUUGAUGUGAAAAAGCCCAGAGCAGAAGGAGUUCUUAAGAGAGACCAUAAUAGAGAGGGGGUUCGGCUUCACUAGAAUGAAUAUGGAGAACAAUAACAAAUUCCAGUAUUUUAUUCAGCACUUUUUAACCGAAUGACAAUAAUGCAAAUGAUUUCCAAAUUUCUCAAUUUGGAAUAAUAAUCGUAUUGUUGUUAGUCACACACACACACACUUUCAUUUACAAUGUUAACAUAAGGAGCGAGUACAGCUUGUGACCAGGUUUUCAAGACCUCAGACUGUGAAACAGAUGCAGAGCUUCUUGGUUCUGAUGAACUACUGAGAGCAUGGCUCCCUGACUGCACACAGCAUGAUAAAGUUUUUAUGAGUGCUAUUGAUCACAAAG